GACGAACGCUGGCGGCGUGCUUAACACAUGCAAGUCGAACGAAGUGGCGAACGGGUGAGUAACGCGUAAUCAACCUGCCCUUCAGAGGGGGACAACAGUUGGAAACGACUGCUAAUACCGCAUACUGAAGGAGGAGAUUGCGUCUGAUUAGCUAGUUGGGGGGGUAACGGCCCACCAAGGCGAUGAUCAGUAGCCGGGCUGGAGGGAUGGACCGCCCAAUUGGGAAUGGGGAAAGGCCCCAGCCCCUUAGGGAGGCAGCAAUGGGGAAACUUCCGCAAAUGGGGAAAGUCUGACGGCGGACAGCCGGGUGGGUGAUGACGGGCUUCGGGUUGUAAAGCUCUGUUAAUCGGGACGCGGUACCGGAAUAGAAAGCCACGGCUAACUACGUGCCAGCAGCCGCGGUAAUAC
rnacentral:rRNA from 1 species